rnacentral:rRNA from 1 species
GUGAGGAAUAUUGCGCAAUGGAGGCAACUCUGACGCAGCCAUGCCGCGUGCAGGAAGAAGGCGCUACGCGUUGUAAACUGCUUUUAACCGGGAAGAAACCCCAGGACGUGUCCUGGGUUGACGGUACCGGAGGAAUAAGCACCGGCUAACUUCGUGCCAGCAGCCGCGGUAAUACGAAGGGUGCAAGCGUUAUCCGGAUUCAUUGGGUUUAAAGGGUGCGUAGGCGGAGCGUUAAGUCAGUGGUGAAAUCCUGCAGCUUAACUGUAGACUUGCCAUUGAUACUGGGGCUCUUGAGUGCGCUUGAAGUGGGCGGAAUGUGCCGUGUAGCGGUGAAAUGCUUAGAUAUGGCACAGAACACCAAUUGCGAAGGCAGCUCACUAAGGCGAUACUGACGCUGAGGCACGAAAGCGUGGGGAUCGAACAGGAUUAGAUACCCUGGUAGUCC